GUACCCAACGAGUUCUUCAUAUCUCUGCUUUGUCGUUACUUUAUUUGUAUGAGUUGGAAGGUAGUGUGUUUAGUCAAGUUUUACAAGUCAAGAUCUGACGAGAACUUUAAAGAUCCAAGAAUGUACCUCGAAAUAGAUGCUUGAUACUCAACUACAUAAAGUUGCUUCAUUGCUAUAUUAAAAGUCUAUUCCGUGCAGGAGAAUGUCGGCUAUCAUUAUCAGAUUUAGAUGGGCUUUGCAUUGCUGAUCUAAUUGCCAUGAGGAUCGUAGUCUUAAAAAAUCUCCAUUACUGACCUAGUUACCAUGAGGCCUGCUGUCUGCCAAGAUCUUCAUCACUGACCUAGUUACCAUGAGGCCUGCUGUCUGCCGAGAUCUUCAUCACUGACCUAGUUACCAUGAGGCCUGUUGUCUGCCGAGAUCUUCAUCACUGACCUAGUUACCAUGAGGCCUGUUGUCUGCCAAGAUCUC